GUGUGGUCGCCCUGUUUUCCUCUUGGCUCUGAAGGACAUAGGUGCUUGAAGAGUGCGCUGUGAUGUCAGAGAUAAAGUGAAUUGCGCGGCCAACACCACCAGGUAAAUGUCACCUUGUGCCUGGCAGACUGCUCCUACCUGCUUCUUGUGAAUUGGUCGGAUCAUCGGCCUCAAUGUAGAGCAGCUCGAAGCCUCCUAGUACCGGGUGAGGCAAAGUCCAUUCUCAAGCCCGAUCACCCAGAUGGAACAGAGAAAUCUGUUACCGGCCUCUGAACAUCAACAGCGCAUAAUUAGCAGCUGCUAAAAUAAUGGAAGUCAAUUGAACAAAAAUGUGGCGCGUUCUGCCUUCAUUUAUUAAAUACCUUAUGUUUCCAAACACUGUGCUCCACAGCGGCUGAAGAGCCUUGGAGGGGCAUCGCAGCAAGUAUCCCUCCCUGGGCACCAGACACAGAGAACCGACUGACUUUUGUGAUGAACUUUCCAAACGAGCUGUUGCUACAGCCGACCAACCGGCAAGCCGGCCGAGGGACCCGACUACUUCCCCUGGGCCCGACGACAGAAUAGAUUUGUCGCAAGCAAACUGUAAGUGGGCUGCCAUCAUCAAAGAAAUCAGCAGCCCGUCUCCCUGGGAGACUGCAACCCCCCACAUUUAUCUAAAUUAUCUCGGUAAUAUGACAGAGUGAUUGCUCACUAAUGGUCAAUAACAGUUUUCUUUGUCAUUUUCCUAGUCAUUACCUCCUGAGAAUGAACUCCCGAGUACACUGCUUGCAGCCCGUGACUGGAAUGUUAAUUUCGUCCUGCGUCCCCGGCUGGCUCCCUUCAACGGUACUGGGCUCUCGCAUUUCUGACAUUUUUCGUUUUGUAAAAAUGAAUACCUGCCUUAGAAAGCCUGAUGAACGCAGAGAUACUUUACAUGCAAACACACACACACACACACACACACACACACACACACACAAAUGCUGUUCCCAUUUCCCCCUGUCUUUCAUCUGACAAAGCGGGUAGUGACUGCGAGCUCAGAAUUGGCUGGCGGAGGUGUCUGCUGGUGUGUGGGCUCCAUUUCUGGGGCUUUAUCAAGCCCUGUCUCCGAUUUUCCCAUUUCAGACAAUCUUCCUUUGAAGACGUGGAUGACAUAGUAAAACCGAUUGCACUUGAGAGCCGAUUCCAUGACUAUUUUGCUGCAACAGCAAAGAUAACAUAUGCAGCCCAGACACUGGCUUCUGCAAGCCCCUCUGUUGUCUGCCUUUCAUGGAUCAGACCCCUUUGCUAG
rnacentral:lncRNA from 12 species